CCAGUUUAACCUGCAGGAGUUUCUGAAGGCUCGUUUAACGUGUUUUUCUGCCAUGGAGGAAAUAAAUUCAUGACAAGUGAAAAUGAGUCCAGAGCAUCUUCCAAUGUCUCUACUGCAGAAACAAGCCGCCAAAUACCAUCGUGACAGAUGAUAAUCAGCUCAAAAAGACAAACAGGCAGUCUUAUAAAUGCUAACAGCAGGAGAAAAGAAUUAUUGACCGCUUCCAAAAGCCUGUCAGGAGAGUGUGUGAGUAUGUAACUAUACUAUGAUGUAAGUUAUAUUCAAAAAGUAACGUUAUUUCUCCAAAAACAGCUGUUGGGAAAGGGGGGUAGUCUGAUAAUCAGAGUCGCCUUAUAUUCAUAUUAUUAUCUAUAUUUGUACCUCGAGCCCGAGUCCAUUAUGCCAUCGAGAGCCACUGUGACUAAACACAUUGAGAACACUUUUGAGAGGAAGAAGGAUGAGCUGAAAGUCAAGCUAGCUCUGACCACCGAUUGCUGGACAGCUCUCACAAAUGAAAGCUACAUCACAACUUUUCUUAAAAAUUAACCGCUUAGUUCUCGGUUAAUGAUUGUCGGUCUGUUGAAAGCAAAAUUAACGAAACUGACAUCAUUACUUGAGACAGAGAGAGAGAGAGAGAGAGAGAGAGAGAGAGGGACAUUGUUAAGAAGAUAUGGUUAGGGAUAUUUGUUGCUGCACAAAUAUUGAAGUUAGCUAGUAUAACGUUAUGUUAAAGACUUAUUUGCAAGUGAGACUGUAAUGGAAGCAAACACUACAAUGAUGUAACAUUAAGUUAAAAGUUGGCUCUAUUUAUUUAGGCUAUUUACCAUUAUUUAUGAAUGUUUAUCGUCAUGAAUAUUUGUAUGACAGUAUUAAUGAAUCUGAUUGAAGAUAAUUUUCCAUCAACUUACCUUGAGCUAGUCUUUAUUUCAUACAGUUAACAAUUUGACAUCACUGAGUACAAUAACUGUUGAGCUGAAAUGGUGUUAAAUUGAGGUGCCAACUUGGUAGGAUUUUGAAUCAGAAAGAAACCUAUAUUCAUAGCCUAUUUAACUACAAAUGCUCAGAUAAUAUUAGGUUUGGUACUAUAAUUGAUUCUGCAGAAGAAUAAGUACUCUAUAGUUUAUUGGUUCUCAUCCAUUUUGAUGAGUGCUCCCUAAAAUCAGAGGAAUGCCUUUUUGCAAUUGUGUAGUUUACCAGAAUAGCAAUGUCUUUAGUGUAGCUACUGAUCUUUUUAUAUGUUUUUAUAUUAUGUGUAUUAUAAGUUGGCAGAUACGAGUAAUUCAAGUUUCCAUAUGUAGGCCUAAUGUUAGUCAUCACUCGGCUACAGAUAGGGUUAUAGGCUAGCAUUCAUGCUAGUUUUUUAAUUUGUUUUUCUGCUCUCUCUCUCUCUCCCUCUCUGUAGUGGUUGACAGUGGCAGCUAGCUGUUUCAUUAGCUGGAGAGCUAAUAUCUGCAGGGUGUUUCUAGUCGGAUAGCACCAUUUUUGUGGUGUUGUUGUGUGGUUAUGUUGGUCGUUUGUUGAUGUUAGCGGGAAAGAGGCAAGGCACUUGGGAGCGUGCAAAAAUGUCACUUCGGAAGGAUUUUCGUGAAAAAUCCGGCCCGGGUCCUUCACAUAGAAAUCAGUACACAGGCUGUUACUGUUUUGCCUUUCAGGCAAUUUGUUUUCUAAAUAUUUCUUUGUGUGUUUUAUGUAGUUUAAUGCUUUCUACUGUUCAGUCAGAUUGCAUCACUUCCUCCGCCACCUAACAGAAGGAGCCAUCAGAGCAGCAGGGCUGUGGAUCAUAGGGGGGUUGGAUGUGUAUGGACCCUGAUCAGUCACAGCCAGACGCACAAGAGGAGGCCGAGCACAAAGCAAGUGAUGGGCACUGUUGUUCAGCUGCAUGAGUUCAAGAGCAGUCCAUAUUGAAGUACUGGAAUCCAUGGACACUUCAAGCUGCAUCAAUGCACUCCGUGGGCCUGCAAAACAGCUCAGAUCUGACUGCGGCUCAAAUUUUGUGGGUGCCUGUAAGGACUACAAGAUGGGCAGCAGAGCCCAAGUGUGCAGAACUACCUGAGCCAACAAGACUGCACAUGGGAGUUUAACCCCCCUCAUGCCUCUCAUAUGGAAGGAUCAUGACAGCGCAUGAUUGGGGUGGCUCAAAAAAUCCUUGACUCGAUGUUGCUUCAGGAGAACACGCACCUCUCUCAUGAAGUCUUGUGCACUCUUAUGGCGAAGGUUACAGCAGUAAUGAAUGUGAGACCUCUCAUCCCAGUUUCCACAGACCCCAACUCACCAUUCAUCCUUACGCCUGCAAUGAUACUCACUCAGAAGGUCGGGGUCCCACCUCCUCCUGGGGACUUCACGGACAAUGAUCUUCUCCGCAAUCAGUGGAGACAAGUUCAAGCUCUUGCCAAUAAGUUUUGGACUCGCUGGCGCCACGAGUAUCUCCAAACUCUGCAAAAUCGACAAAAGUGGACCAAAGCUUGCAGAUACCUACAUUCAGGUGAUAUUGGGCUGUUAAGAGACAAUCAAACUGCCCGUAAUGAGUGGCCUAUGGUUAUGGUCACUUCUGCUUUCACUGGAAGAGAUGGAAGAGUCCGCAAAGUGGAAGUCAAAACCACAAAUCAGGGCUCUGUGAAGACUUACCUGAGACCAGUCUCAGAGGUCGUUUUGCUUCUCCAGAAAGAGGACUCUUUUUAAUGGUAUAAUGUAAUUUCUUGGUAGUGACCUAACAAAGGUCAGGCGGGGAGUGUUUUGCCUUUCAGGCAAUUUGUUUUCUAAAUAUUUCUUUGUGUGUUUUAUGUAGUUUAGUGCUUUCUACUGUUCAGUCAGAUUGCAUCACUUCCUGUGUAGACUGGAAGUAGGAAGUUUACAUCACUUCCUGUGUAGACCAGAAGUAAGAAGUUGGUCUAAUUGAAGGCCAAAAGUUUGUUGCUGGAAUUCAGUGUCAAUCUGGUGUUAUCUGGUUGUUCUUCCCAACAAAAGCAUUGCUUGUAAGUUGCUCAUAUGUAUACUUAACAAUUUCCUUCAGGUAUUGACAAGUAUUUUUGCUAGUGUUAGAAGUGUAAGGUUUAUUUUGCCACCUAAUUGCCAACCAUUCCGCUUAGUUGUGAGUGAUACCUGCUCACAUGUGACUGUUCUAUUGUGCACAUCUUUGGAGUAAAUUCAUAUGGUUGUUAAGGUGAUUAGGCAGUAUUGUGGGGAUGUUUGUACUGAUGUGGACCACAGGGUGUUGACCUAAUCACUUUUCCUUUGCCUGCCAUACCAUUUGAAUGUCAGCCAUAUUGGUGUUAGUUUACUAUUUAAUAUCCUUUGUUACUUAUUUUGUUUAUAUUUAGUAGUGAUUGGUGAUGAUUGGAAAUAGGAUUAUUAAUCUGAUUUAUUCAUAUUUGAUAAAAGCAAUUUAUCCUUGUAUUGAUAAUAUUAUAUUAAUGUGUUUUGUGCUUUGUUAUUUUUUCAGUUUCACUCCUGAUAUUCAACUAUACACACAUUGGGUCUGCAAUAAAAAAACGGAGCUAGAAUGCUA